GACGAACGCUGGCGGCGUGCUUAACACAUGCCAGUCGAACGAAGAGCGAUGGAAGUUUGCUUUCAUCCAUCUUAGUGGCGCACGUGUGAGUAACGUGUAAUCAACCUGUCUUUCAGUGGGGGACAACAGUUGGAAACGACUGCUAAUACCGCAUACGAUCUAACCUCGGCAUCGAGGAAAGAAGAAAGGUGGUCUCUAUGUAUAAGGUAUCAUUGAAGGCGGGGUAUGUGUCUGGUUAGCUAACUGGGUGGGGAAUGGACCAUCAAGGGCAAGCUCAGUAGGCCGACUGGGGGGAGUAACGGCCACAAUGGGACCUGAGCAAGGCCCAGACCCCUUCGGGGAGCAGCAGUUGGGAAUCUUCCGGAAUGGGGGGAAGUCUGACGGGGGAACGCCGCGUGAGUGAUGACAGCCUUCGGGAUGUAAAACUCUGUUAAUCGGGGAGAAAGGACUUCUUACGAAAAGAGAGAAGGAUUGACGGUACCGAAAUAGAAAGCCACGGCUAACUACGUG
rnacentral:rRNA from 1 species